rnacentral:rRNA from 1 species
AAACUUUCAACAACGGAUCUCUUGGUUCUCGCAUCGAUGAAGAGCGCGGCGAAAUGCGAUACCUAGUGUGAAUUGCAGCCAUCGUGAAUCAUCGAGUUCUUGAACGCACAUUGCGCCCGUCGGCAUUCCGGCAGGCAUGCCUGUCUGAGCGUCGUU